CGGGGCCCGCACAAGCGUGGAGUAUGUGGUUUAAUUCGAUGCAACGCGAAGAACCUUACCUGGUCUUGACAUCCCGGAGACCCUUAGGAAACUAGGGGGUGCUUCCAUCUGGAAGAAUCUGGAGACAGGUGCUGCAUGGCUGUCGUCAGCUCGUGUCGUGAGAUGUUGGGUUAAGUCCCGCAACGAGCGCAACCCUUGCCUUUAGUUGCCAGCAGUUCGGCUGGGCACUCUAAAGGGACUGCCGGUGUUAAACCGGAGGAAGGUGGGGAUGACGUCAAGUCCUCAUGGCCUUUAUGACCAGGGCUACACACGUACUACAAUGGCCGAUACAAAGGGCAGCGACACUGCGAGGUGAAGCCAAUCCCGUAAAAUCGGUCUCAGUCCGGAUUGGAGUCUGCAACUCGACUCCAUGAAGUUGGAAUCGCUAGUAAUCGUGGAUCAGCAUGCCACGGUGAAUACGUUCCCGGGCCUU
rnacentral:rRNA from 1 species